CACAGCAGCUCACAGUGUCAAGCUCUGACCCCACAGGAGAGAGUGGGGGGCGGAGGAGAGCACGCCGGGGUCCCUUUCAACCAUGGGCCCGGCACCAUGGCGCCACUGACGCCAUUAUAAAUCCAGUAUUGGGUGUGAGUGAUUGCUGGACCCAAAGUAGAAGGAGACUAGUCUGUAAAAGGAAGCCUACUGACUCUUCAAAUACCAGCAUACAGAGAUCAUGUCUUCCCAUCGCCGAACCAAGCCACCUGUUCAACGAGAGCCAGCUUUGCGCUUCUAUGGGUCCAUUUUUUUUUUUGCUUGCCAACUAUAAAAUAAGCCUAGUUUUGGUCUAAAAAUAUUUUUUCAAGCAAAAAUGGGAUUUGUUCUCCAGUUACUCACCAAAUGGGAACAACCCUGAAUUUGGAGCUUUGCGUUUCCCUAUGAAUGCUGGGCAUAUGGCUCCUAUUUACAGAGUGCCAUCUUGUGCCUUCAGAGGAGGAUACAGCCCCUCUUCGAUUUCAGUUUUACAGGAAACAUUUCAAGUUGCUGGUUUUGCAGCAGGACAGUGAGAGAGAACAGAACACUGGAGCCCUCUAGUGGUGUGAUGUAGAAGGCCGGCAUCUUAAAAUACCACACCAAGCGACUGAAGCGCUGAUCAAUGGGGAAAGCCUAGCAGAAGAGCAACCAGCCAGCCUGUGGUGAGAAGCACCUAAGUUUGUAAGGACAUUGAAAGUGUUAAGAUCAGCUUAGAAUGCGUUUUGCUUUUAUUUCACUUGACCAAAUCUGACUUGUUAUGUUUUGACUUAUAAUCACUUAAAAUUUAUCUUUUUAGUUAAUAAA